AGAGUUUGAUCCUGGCUCAGAACGAACGCUGGCGGCAGGCUAACACAUGCAAGUCGAGCGCGCUUUCGGGUGAGCGGCGGACGGGUUAGUAACGCGUGGGAACGUGCCCUUCUCUACGGAAUAGCCUCUGGAAACGGAGAGUAAUACCGUAUACGCCCUUUGGGGGAAAGAUUUAUCGGAGAAGGAUCGGCCCGCGUUAGAUUAGGUAGUUGGUGGGGUAACGGCCUACCAAGCCUACGAUCUAUAGCUGGUUUUAGAGGAUGAUCAGCAACACUGGGACUGAGACACGGCCCAGACUCCUACGGGAGGCAGCAGUGGGGAAUCUUAGACAAUGGGGGCAACCCUGAUCUAGCCAUGCCGCGUGAGUGAUGAAGGCCUUAGGGUCGUAAAACUCUUUCGCCUGUGAUGAUAAUGACAGUAGCAGGUAAAGAAACCCCGGCUAACUCCGUGCCAGCAGCCGCGGUAAUACGGAGGGGGUUAGCGUUGUUCGGAAUUACUGGGCGUAAAGCGCGCGUAGGCGGAUUAGAAAGUUGGGGGUGAAAUCCCGGGGCUCAACCCCGGAACUGCCUCCAAAACUGCUAGUCUAGAGUUCGAGAGAGGUGAGUGGAAUUCCGAGUGUAGAGGUGAAAUUCGUAGAUAUUCGGAGGAACACCAGUGGCGAAGGCGGCUCACUGGCUCGAUACUGACGCUGAGGUGCGAAAGUGUGGGGAGCAAACAGGAUUAGAUACCCUGGUAGUCCACACCGUAAACGAUGAAUGCCAGUCGUCGGAUAGUAUACUAUUCGGUGACACACCUAACGGAUUAAGCAUUCCGCCUGGGGAGUACGGUCGCAAGAUUAAAACUUAAAGGAAUUGACGG
rnacentral:rRNA from 1 species